ensembl:snoRNA
UUGCACUGUUAAGUAGCCUGUUGGCCUUUACCUUGGCUCUUUGGUGUCAUAUCAGUGCCACACUAACCUCACAGCUUGCAGAAGGGAUGAGUUUGCGAUCUGUAGCUCCUCCCUUUCGAAGGCUGGGAACACUU